CUGACCCGAGCAUUGCUGUGGAUGCACACGCGGUCAGAGAUGGCCUCUGCUGCACCAAAUGCCUGAAAGCAGAAAACCUUUGGGUUCAACAACCACCAGCAGCAGCAGGAGGACGAGGAAGAAUGACAUCUAUGCAGAAUCAGGAGUGGAGGCCCCUGGAGUUGAUCCCACAGGAGUCGAAGCUGCAGGAGUCGAGGCGCCAGGGGUUCCACCUGGAGAAGUGCCUGGUGUUGUGCCGGGAGUGGCAGGAAUGACAACUACAGGGCCCGGGCCUGGACUGGCGGAUCGAGGCUCCAGUCGUGGAGUGGAUGUGACAAAGCGAGCCUCCCUAAUCCGGGAUCCCUGACUUUUUCUCCGGGGAACCCGCCAGGAGAGAUUCCUCACAACCCCAACCUGACAUUACUGGUGCAACAAAAUUGGAGAGCAAUACUGGAGUCGUACAGUUCUGAACCAGAUGUCAACUCAAACGAGGAAAAUUAAGACGCUAAUGGAUCUGUUCAUCUACAAGUGCAUGCAUUAGAAUAGAGCGGAGAAGGGAGCUUGUGGCUUGUAGGUCCUAUGUUACACCUGUAAACCUUUUGUAAUGGAAGUUUUUUGUCUGCUCUUGAUUUACUAUGAUUAAAAUAAAGAAAUACUCAGAAAUACUAUUUUAAUCUUAAUUUUCUCUAUA